GACGAACGUUGGCGGCGUGCUUAAUACAUGCAAGUCAACUGAAGCAGUGGUAGCAAUAUCGCUGUGGAGGUGGCGCACGGGUGAGUAACACGUAGGUAAUCUGCCUUCAGGUCUGGCAUAACUCCGGGAAACCGGGGCUAAUAGCAGAUGAUGCAGCGGCUCGACAUCGAGACAGUUGUUAAAGCUAUGGCGCCUGAAGAUGAGCCUGCGUCUGAUUAGCUAGUUGGCGGGGUAACGGCCCACCAAGGCAACGAUCAGUAGCUGGUCUGAGAGGAUGAUCAGCCAUACUGGAACUGAGACACGGUCCAGACUCCUACGGGAGGCAGCAGUAAGGAAUAUUGCUCAAUGGGAGAAAUCCUGAAGCAGCAACGCCGCGUGAGGGACGAAGGGCUUUUGCUUGUAAACCUCUGUAGUGAGAGAAAAAAAUCCCAAUCUUUGGGACAUGAUGGUAUCUCAAAAGUAAGCCCCGGCUAACUACGUG
rnacentral:rRNA from 1 species